UUAUGUUGUUUAAUUCGACGCAACGCGAAGAACCUUACCAGGCCUUGACAUACUCGGCAAAGCUCUAGAGAUAGAGUGGAGGUUAUCCGGGAUACAGGUGGUGCAUGGUUGUCGUCAGCUCGUGUCGUGAGAUGUUGGGUUAAGUCCCGCAACGAGCGCAACCCUUGUCUUUAGUUACCAUCAUUCAGUUGGGGACUCUAGAGAGACUGCCGGUGAUAAACCGGAGGAAGUGGGGAUGACGUCAAAUCAUCAUGCCCCUUAUGGCCUGGGCUACAAACGUAAUACAAUGGCGUAUACAAAGGGAUGCGAAAGGGCGACCUGGAGCAAAACUCACAAAGUACGUCUCAGUUCAGAUUGGAGUCUGCAACUCGACUCCAUGAAGGCGGAAUCGCUAGUAAUCGCGGAUCAGCAUGCCGCGGUGAAUACGUUCUCGGGGUUU
rnacentral:rRNA from 1 species